rnacentral:rRNA from 1 species
UACGGAGGGUGCAAGCGUUAUCCGGAUUUACUGGGUUUAAAGGGUGUGUAGGCGGACUUUUAAGUCAGCGGUGAAAUCUCCGGGCUCAACCCGGAAACUGCCAUUGAUACUAUUGGUCUUGAAUGUUGUUGAGGUGGGCGGAACGGGUCAUGUAGCGGUGAAAUGCAUAGAUAUGACCCGGAACACCGAUUGCGUAGGCAGCCCACUAAGCAACGAUUGACGCUGAGGCACGAAGGCGUGGGGAUCAAACAGG